AAGUAGCUAUGAUUAGAGAUGAGCGAAUUUCAGGUUGUGGGGUUCGUUCACACUUUGUUUGCUGGUGGAAGGUGGGUUGCGUUGUGGAUUCCGUUGCCACGGGCCGUGGCGCAAUUCUGUGGCGGAAUGCCUUAUAGGGGCGU